rnacentral:rRNA from 1 species
UACGGAGGGGGCUAGCGUUGUUCGGAAUUACUGGGCGUAAAGCGCACGUAGGCGGAUUUGUUAGUCAGGGGUGAAAUCCCGGGGCUCAACCUCGGAACUGCCUUUGAUACUGCAAGUCUCGAGUCCGAUAGAGGUGGGUGGAAUUCCUAGUGUAGAGGUGAAAUUCGUAGAUAUUAGGAAGAACACCGGUGGCGAAGGCGGCCUGCUGGGCAGUGGCUGACGCUGAGGCGCGACAGCGUGGGGAGCAAACAGG